AGUGAACGCUGGCGGUAGGCCUAACACAUGCAAGUCGAACGGCAGCACAGGAGAGCUUGCUCUCUGGGUGGCGAGUGGCGGACGGGUGAGGAAUACAUCGGAAUCUACUCUGUCGUGGGGGAUAACGUAGGGAAACUUACGCUAAUACCGCAUACGACCUACGGGUGAAAGCAGGGGACCUUCGGGCCUUGCGCGAUUGAAUGAGCCGAUGUCGGAUUAGCUAGUUGGCGGGGUAAAGGCCCACCAAGGCGACGAUCCGUAGCUGGUCUGAGGGGAUGAUCAGCCACAAGGGAACUGAGACCCGGUCCAGACUCCUACGGGAGGCAGCAGUGGGGAAUAUUGGACAAUGGGCGCAAGCCGGAUCCAGCCAGACCGCGUGGGUGAAGAGGGCCUUCGGGUUGUAAAGCCCUUUUGUUGGGAAAGGAAUCCAGCUGGCUAAUACCCGGUUGGGAUGACGGUACCCAAAGAAUAAGCACCGGCUAACUUCGUGCCAGCAGCCGCCGCAG
rnacentral:rRNA from 1 species